rnacentral:rRNA from 1 species
UUGAACGCUGGCGGAAUGCUUUACACAUGCAAGUCGAGCGGCAGCGCGGGGCAACCUGGCGGCGAGCGGCGAACGGGUGAGUAACACAUCGGAACAUACCCAGUCGUGGGGGAUAACACUUCGAAAGAAGUGCUAAUACCGCAUACGUCCUGAGGGAGAAAGCGGGGGAUCUUCGGACCUCGCGCGAUUGGAGUGGCCGAUGUCAGAUUAGCUAGUUGGUGGGGUAAAGGCCUACCAAGGCGACGAUCUGUAGCUGGUCUGAGAGGACGACCAGCCACACUGGGACUGAGACACGGCCCAGACUCCUACGGGAGGCAGCAGUGGGGAAUUUUGGACAAUGGGGGCAACCCUGAUCCAGCCAUUCCGCGUGAGUGAAGAAGGCCUUCGGGUUGUAAAGCUCUUUCGGCAGGAACGAAACGGCGCGCUCUAACAUAGCGCGUUAAUGACGGUACCUGAAGAAGAAGCACCGGCUAACUACGU